rfam:Gonium pectorale scaffold00041, whole genome shotgun sequence.
UACCCGGUGUUUUUAAACACCACCUCAUUUGGGCAAGGGCUGGGUCU